UACGUAGGGGCGAGCGUUGUCCGGAAUGAUUGGGCGUAAAGGGCGCGUAGGCGGCUUAGCAAGUCUGGAGUGAAAGUCCUAUUUUCAAGGUAGGAAUUGCUUUGGAAACUGUUGAGCUUGAGUGCAGGAGAGGUUAUCGGAAUUCCCGGUGUAGCGGUGAAAUGCGUAGAGAUCGGGAGGAACACCAGUGGCGAAGGCGGGUAACUGGACUGCAACUGACGCUGAGGCGCGAAAGUGUGGGGAGCAAACAGGAUUAGAUACCCGCGUAGUCCCU
rnacentral:rRNA from 1 species